UACGUAGGGGGCUAGCGUUGUCCGGAAUCAUUGGGCGUAAAGCGCGCGUAGGCGGCCCGGUAAGUCCGCUGUGAAAGUCGAGGGCUCAACCCUCGAAUGCCGGCGGAUACUGUCGGGCUAGAGUCCGGAAGAGGCGAGUGGAAUUCCUGGUGUAGCGGUGAAAUGCGCAGAUAUCAGGAGGAACACCGAUGGCGAAGGCAGCUCGCUGGGACGGUACUGACGCUGAGACGCGAAAGCGUGGGGAGCAAACAGG
rnacentral:rRNA from 1 species